UUUUAGACACUACUCCCUGAGCUGCCUUCACAUUAUAAGGUAUUAUUUUAGACACUUACUCCCCGAGCUGCCUUCACAUUAUGAGGUAUUAUUUAAGACACUAACUCUCCGUGCUGCCUCCACAUCAUGAGGUAUUAUCUUAGACACUAACUCCCCGAGCUGCCUCCACAUCAUGAGGUAUUAUUUUAGACCCUAACUCUCCGAGCUGCCUUCACAUUAUGAGGGUGGACAAUCGCUGGGCAUUUUGCUGCAAAGAUUUUUCUUCAAGAUGGACGAAUAGACGGGAUCCCAUGGAACCAAACUUCUCGAGAAGAAAAUCAAGAAGUUCAUGGUGAAAGUUAAAAAAUACAUUUAAAGGAAAUGAGAGAAAUUAAGAAACUUAUGAAAGAAUUAAAACCUUUGGACAAAAAACACGUUCGGCUUAAGGCAGGAACUAUUUUUAUCCAAGUCAAUUUAAAAAAUCAACUGUCUGAAACAGGGCUGGGCAGGUUCACACUUUUUUUUUAAUCAAUUCGUUAAUAGUUGGGUAAUCAGCAGACCAGACAGGCUCAUCAAGUUUUUAACUAUA